CAACCAUGACUGAAUGCAGCCAUGGUGUAGAUGGAGGACUGCCCAAUAGCACAGCCAUGCUUCCUUCCUGUGACACAGAGCACACGCUGAAUAAAAGGACAUCCAAGCCUAUGUGUAAGGACACAGAGGCCAGAGGGGAUGGGGAAAGGAAAAUGUAAACAGAAACCUGAAUUUUACACCUGGCCCUGUCUGGUCAUGGAAAUGGUCAACAUGAGAGUGCUUAGACACCUGCUGCCCUCUGCAUUCUGUGGCUUGAAGGUCCUGGUUUUAUUGGUCUGUCACUAAAUUUGCAAAAGAGAGAGAAAUUAUAAACUGUGAAGUAAUUGUUCAGUGCCCAGUGGUGCACAGAAAAGCAGUUUUUCAGAAGCCAUAAGAAAAAGGAGAGAGAGAGAACCUCUGCUGCGCCUGCCAUGUUGCACUAAUGGUUUAGAGAGGCCUUCAAAACUGAAGAAAGCUACAAACUCACAAAAGUCUCUGGUCCACUCUGCUGGCUUUUAUAUGUGUCAGAAGAAAUAGGGGAAAUAUUAUACAACAAACUAAAGGUGUCCUAAAUUAAGGUACUUCCAUGUAGAGCAUCUCUGCUUUAAGUCAUAAUGCUGAUUAUUGAACAACAAUAAUUUACUUCAAAUUUGUCAAAUAAUUUAAAAGCAAAAGUGAUCACAGUGAAU